rnacentral:rRNA from 1 species
AGUACGUGAAACCGUUCGGGGGUAAACGGACAGAGCCCGUGAAUCCGGGCGAGCGGAAUUCAGGACCGACGCGCGGCGGCUCGUCCGUCGCGCGUCGAUUCGAUAUUUCCGCCGCCGACCCUCUCAACCGAGGGUGCCGGACGUCGCGACCCGUUCGCCGCUGGUCGAAACUGAGGAACGCGCUUCGAGUUCGUUUGCGCGGCUCGGCUUUCGGGUCGGUCGCGCGGCGACGGCGCGUCUCCGUCUUGUUUUCGGCGCGGACGGUAGCUUUGCGCGCGCGGUAAUCGACGCGGCCCGUUCGCGCUCGGCGCGAGUCGAGCGCGGCGCUCGCGUCGACGCCGGUCAGCGACGAAUUUUCGGGCCUCUUUCCGACCCGUCUUGAAACACGGACCAAGGAGUCUAGCGUGCGCGCGAGUCGCGGGGUAUCCGAGUCGUCGUAGUCGUUCGCGCGGCGAACGCGACUCGUCACGAUACGAAACCCGUGUACGUACGUUGUGCGAAGGCGUAAUGAAAGUGAAAGGCGACGCCUCGCGCGUCGCCGGGGGAAGACGGUGUUCCGUGUACCACGUUCCGCGGUCGUAAUUGCGUACCGCGGCCGGACACCCGCACUCCCAGGGCGUCCCGCUCGUACGUCGGCGGCGCGGACGGCGGCCUCGCUCGCGGGGCCGUACAUCGGCCGUCGACGAACUGGGGCGCACCUACAGCGUGCACGCUGGUACCCGAAAGAUGGUGAACUAUGCCCGGCCAGGAUGAAGUCAGG